rnacentral:rRNA from 1 species
GACGUAGGGGGCCAGCGUUGUUCGGAUUCAUUGGGCGUAAAGGGUGCGUAGGUGGCAUGGUAAGUCGGAUGUGAAAUCCCGGGGCUCAACCCCGGAGCUGCAUUCGAUACUGCUGCGCUAGAGUACUGGAGAGGAGAUUGGAAUUUACGGUGUAGCAGUGAAAUGCGUAGAUAUCGUAAGGAAGACCAGUGGCGAAGGCGGAUCUCUGGACAGUUACUGACACUGAGGCACGAAGGCCAGGGGAGCAAACGGG